UUGUACUCACAGAGAUCAAGAAUCAUGUAUGUAGAAAUAUAAAUGUGUCAACACGAUAUAUGGAUAUCUAAAGAACUGUUGGACUAGACUUCUUUUUUCCUGUCAAUUAACUGUUAGUCCUACACUCUCUAGCUGGUAAAAGAUUGUCGACCUUAUAGUCAUGUCACGUACAAUAGUUAACACCUAAAAUGAGUUAUGGAAAAAAUAUAAGAUACGAAGCGCGUAACACGACCAGGUCAAAAAGGGUAUCCCCACCACCCACUAUUAGCGGCGACGUCGCCGCAAAUAGUGGGUCCCACUGACAAAUUGUAGCCAUUCAACGCGACCGUUUCAUGUGCCAUGGACCCCACUAUUUGCGGCGACAUCGCCGCUAAUAGUGGACCCCACUGAAACUACAUAGAUUUAAACGCGCAGAUCUCUUCCUUUCUUCUUCACACCUCCUCCGGCCAUCUCUUCCUUCCUUUCAUCUAUUUUUGAGGCAAUAUAUCCUUUUUAUUUGCAUAAUCCGGCCAUCUAUCCCCUCAUCCUCGUUAUCAACAAUCUUAUUUGUUUGUCCCACGUUUUCCGGCGUCCCGACCUCCAUUUUCAGACGCGGUAUUAGCGGCGACUGUUUUCUGGCGAAUAAGUUAUCCGGCGAACCAGUUUUACGAGGAACGAUUUUUCCGGCGAUAUCCGGCGAACCAGUUUUUGAUUUUUCCGGCGAUAUCCGGCGAACCAGUUUUCCGGCGAAUGGAUUUUUUCCGGUGACCCAGUUUUUCCGGUUUUCCGACUACUCAUUUUUCCGGUGAACUAGUUUUCAGACGAGGUUAAAAUGGCUGCCCUUCAUGGCGGAGAUGGUGGUAAUGACCCUCCAAAUUGGGGGUGAAAUCCCGAAUGGGGCUGUAGGCGUACGGGUGGUAUUAGCACAGGGAGAGCUGCCGCUGUUAACAAUGAUCUGGAGCGGGAGUUUCAGAAUUUCGAACGCCGUAUAUCUCUUAUGCUUAAUAACAAUCUUAGUAGGUGGCAGGCCAUCGGGGACCACGCCAAAUGGUACAAGAGCUAUUUGGGGACCUAUGUCGCUACCGUCCCACAUAAUUACGAGUCGUGGGAUCAGGUGCCCCAGCCCAUCAAGGAUGGACUUACUGAAUGGCUUGUGAGACGGUUCUACUUGGAACCCUAUCUAGAUCACCCAGAAACUCACCCCUUACGAGAGGCCGUGACUAAGAUGAUUCGUCAGGAUGCCCUGAAGAUCUACAGGGACAAAAAAUCAAAAUUCAAGAAGACUUGGUUCACUGACAGGGGUGGGUCACAGAGGCGGGCAGAAUUGGAGAGUCAACCGCCGUAUGGAAUGUCUCCACAGGUCUGGAGUCAUCUACUACGUUACUGGACCAGCGAGCCCCGGAUGAUUGCUGCCCAAAGAAACACGACUAACAGGCAUCAACAAGAUAGUAUUGUCAGUACUCACGGUCGGCAGUCAUACGCUCAGCGUGAAUAGCGUUAUGGAAGAUAAUGAGGGGCGACGUGAGGAGCCGCCUGAGUUCUAUUUGCGGGCCCACACGAGACGAGAUGGGACGGUGCAGAACGCAGCUAUGCCCAUUUAUGAGCGGCUUGUUGAUACCCACCAUAGACUUUCCGAAGUGCCCAAUACCCCUCCUACGCAGACAUUUGUGGACGCUUUAGGGACCCGAUCGGGACAUACUCGUGUGGUUGGGCGUGUCGUUAGGGGAACACGUGGACUGAAUGUCCCCCUCCUAGAGGAUAUAGAGGAACCUCUCCUAGCCUAGCAGUCACCCGUCGUUUAACGUGAAUGAUAUGUUCGCCCAGGUUAGCCCUGGAGCCAGGCAUCAUUCCAGGCCGGGCCUAGGACGUCAUCAUCCCAGGCUGGGCCUAGCACGUCACGGGCCCACACACAGCGGUUGGGUACUGAUAGUGAUAGUGAAAGUGAUUAGUUUUUAUUUUUUACGAACUUGUUCGUUUAUGUUUGUAUUCAUGGUUUAACUGAAGUUCGAUUUCCUUUUAUAAUCUUUUUUUUUUUAUGAUC